UACGUAGGGUGCGAGCGUUAAUCGGAAUUACUGGGCGUAAAGCGUGCGCAGGCGGCGCGUUAAGACAGGUGUGAAAGCCCCGAGCUUAACUUGGGAAUUGCGCUUGUGACUGGCGUGCUGGAGUGUGGCAGAGGGAGGUGGAAUUCCACGUGUAGCAGUGAAAUGCGUAGAGAUCAGGAAGAACACCCGUGGCGAAGGCGGCCCACUGGGCCGGUACUGACGCUGAGGCGCGAAGGCGUGGGGAGCGAACGGG
rnacentral:rRNA from 1 species